AAAUCUCUAAGCUCAACUUAGAAAAUGCUUCGGAUACUAUCUGGCUAGAGGGUCGGAGAGGAGAUCGGAAUUCUCGGUGUAGCAGUGAAAUGCGUAGAUAUCGAGAGGAACAUCAGUGGCGAAGGCKGAUCUCUGGACGAAUCCUGACGCUGAGGCACGAAAGCCAGGGUAGCAAACGGGAUCAGAUACCCCGGUAGUCCUGGCUGUAAACGGUGCGCACUUGCUGUGAGCGGAUUCAAACCCGCUCGUGGCGUACGUAACGCGAUAAGUGCGCCGCCUGGGAAGUACGGUCGCAAGAUUAAAACUCAAAGAAAUUGACGGGGGCCUGCACAAGCGGUGGAGUAUGUGGCUUAAUUCGAUGCAACGCGAAGAA
rnacentral:rRNA from 1 species